UGUCACAGGUCAAGACUUUCAGCUUGCCUAGUGCGGCACUUGCUCGGCAGAUUUCCCCAACACCGAAAACAAGUAAGCCUAUUCCAGCAAAGAACUCAAGCACACCCACACUCACACUUGGAAUGCACAAGAGAGAUUGAUUGGGCCAAAGAGAACUCUAUUAUGUACAAUUGCAAAGUGUGUACAAAGAGAAGUAUACAAGAACUCUUU
rnacentral:misc_RNA from 1 species